UUUUCCUGGUCCUAAAUUCAUUGCCAGUUCCCUAGUCUGCUGCAAAUGUGCCACGUCAAGACUGGAAAUCACAGCCCUUUAGUGUGUCUCAGUCGAUGCAGCAGACAGGGUUCAGGGGGGAAGCUGAACAAGCCCCUGGUGCAGGAAGACAGGCUCUCCCCAGCCCCGGGACAGGAUUUUCCACACACCGAUGGAAGCUUCAGGAGAUCCUGCUCCGUCGCCCCAGUGUUCAGACUACCUGUUCAGGACAAUGCCGUUGUACAGUAGUCUGCACAUUGGUUAGACUGGGCAAGGGCCAGCAACGCCAUGGACGGCUGGGGACACAAUGUGCUGCUUCCAAGGAGAGGACAGCUGGGUGCUCCUUUGUUGAAUCUCAUAUCCAGUGUUUCUCUUCACAGGUUUUGCAAACUAGGGACCAAGAAGCCCUCAGGGACUCUGCCAGGGGAGAGGACUGCUCCAGGGAAGACCAGCGGGUAAGGCCUCUGGGAUUGCGUACCUGGUCUGUGAUUGGGGAACUAGAUAGAGAUCCCAUCACCUGUGUGAAGACGCUGGAGACACUGAGCUAAGGGACAGAUAACCGUGAACUUAACUUUCAAAAGAGCAAGGUCGUAUGGUAAAUUGUGAUUUUCUGUGUGUUUUUUAUAAGUCUAAAUGUUGAUCGUUCAAAUGCUUUCUUAAAUGUAAGGGUCUUCCGCUUCAAAAUAAAAGGUGGGGAAAAAAACCUCACUCCAGACAAGUAGCAAAAACUGAACGAGACUUAGUUUUGAAUGGUUGAAACUGAUAAUUCAGAGACUUAAACUCGAGCAUGGAUGAGCUAUGUAUGCAACCUCUAACACUCCAGGAAUGAAUGCAUUUUGCCCUAAAGGAAAAAAAUGCAAUUUUCAAAACUCUUGUAUGAACAGGGAGCUUUUCUGUUUAUCUAUAUAAUAGAAACACCAGAAAUAAUAGUACCUAACGAUAAGAAGCAGUCUAGUCUUUUGUUUUUUGCUUUUUUGUUUUGUUAUUUUACUAUCAGACAAUGCAAACGCACUUAGCCAGAGAUGAGGGCCCAAGUGCCAAACCCACAUCUUACUGACUCAGCAACUUAGCAGGCCAGGGGAAUAGCGCUCUGUCUUUAGUGGGCUCACUAGAUAACAUUGAAAUUGUUCUUCUAAAAUCCAAGAAUGGCUGAUACUUGCUGGUCAGCUGAGCCUGCUGGCCCAUCUUUUUUUUUUUUUUUUUUUUUUUUUUUAACAAGGCUCUCACUUGUCCUGGGCCUUUGAAAUGAUAAGGCACGUUGUCUAAAAAGAUGCUGAUAAAACAGGAAUUUGUAAACGAAGGCAAAAGUUUUCUUUGGUCAGUUUCCAGCUGUCCUGGAGGUGAAGGAGAGUGGGGGAGGUAGGCAGACUGGAAGCAAGAAAACUUCCUCUGGCUGAAUGAAAUACUGAAAGAGAAAAUACUAGAAGAAUCUGGGUCACUAAGUAAGCUGGGAGGUUUGUAUUGAGCAUCAGCGGUGGCUCCGUUAAAGAAAGUUCUGGGAGAAAAUGUUGCUGCUGUACCCAUAAAGUCUCGCCUUUCAUUUAUUUUCACCCCUGGAAAAUUUCAUUCCACAUUCUAUGGGAUGAAAUAUUAUCUGCUCAUUGAGCUUUCUGUGCAAAACGAAUACACUGUCUUUUGUCUUUUAAAGUGUGAAUCUUUGUCUAAGUUACACAUUCUCCAAUAACCCAAAGGAGAGUGCAAACUCUCCUUAGUAAAAUACUAUAGUAUAGCUGCAUCUCUGAGUUUUCUUCUUACAAUUUUUAUUUUUAAAAAAUUAUGCUUCAUAUAAUCCCAAAACUGGUAUCUUGGUCAUAAAAUUUUCUGAUGAAUUAUGGCAAUUAAGUAAGAAAUAUAGCGGGGGACAUUUAACUGCUUGUCACUUAGGUGAAACAGGCGAGGCACCAUUCAUUGUUCUGUGAGAGUUGAAGAAUCUUAAUUAUUUUUAAAAGAAGAGUUGAGAUUAUAUAUAUAUACACACAUACAUAUCACUUUGUUUGCACAGGAAAUUAAAAGCACUAUUAGUUCACUUAUGGAAGUUGUGUGUCUCAGGAAACACACUUUCUUGACUAACGCGUCACGAAAGAGGACAGAGAAGAAUCACUUGGAUCAUAUUUAAGAUUUCUCUAAUUUUGAGGGCCUAUUGUAUACUAGAAAUAAUUGAAUUUUAUAACUUGCCUUUAUUUAAUGAUAUUUAAUUUAAAAUUUUCUCUUCAUAUUAAAUGCAUUUUUUUUAAUUUCAAGAAGAAUAACCUUUCUUCACAGGUCCCUUCCCUAUUUCUCCCAUGGGACAGUUUUUAGUCUGAAGAUACAAAGGGCAUAAGGGUGAUUCUCCUGUAAGUUCAACAGUAAAAAGUAACAAUUUCUUUGUAAACCCGGAGUCUCUGCCUGUUCUUGGUUGGAGUUCUAACACACCAUUUUCAAGGAAAAUUCUAAAUGAAUGAAGGAGUGUGGUACUUAAUUUUAAAUGUAUGAGUUAUAUUAAAAGUACAAAAAAGUUGUUUGAUAACCCUCUGCUGUAUGAAGACAUGGUGUUAAGCCUGUGUGCUGGUGGAUAUAUCCCUUAUAGACACUUUAGGAUAAAAAUAAAGAUAUCGAUUCCAAAAUAAUUAGAAGAAUGUCUAAUUUUAUUCCAAUAUUACUUCCAAAGAGGAUAUACAAAUAUUUUAGGGAUGGUGGAAUCUAGGGCAGAAGAGAGUAACCAGCAGCAAACAUCUUGCUCUGGAUAGUAUGGUAAGUCUAAAUAGAAAAGUGAAACAUUGUAGGUGCUCAUAAAAAGGAAACUGUUUGCAGGGUUUGUCCAACCUUAACGUUAGUGAAAAUUGCACCCUUGUUUCUUAUUUCAGAGAAUCAAUGAUGGAUAAGCUAGGCUAGGUACUGAAGUCAAAAAGAUUUUUUUCAACCAUCAGAGAGAAAGGAAAUUCUAAGCUGCAACCUCAACUCCAUCACUUCAGAGUCUAAUUUCUCAAAACAAGGUUUUUUGAUUUUUUUUUUUUAACCAUAGAUCUCAAAAUCAAGGAAAGUUUGUUUGUACGGAGACAAAGUGUGUCACAGAUCGCUCUCGUCCAAUUAGUUAACAUGCUAGCCCUCCUUCCUGCUUGCCCUUGAACCUUUGGCUAGGAGAAGGUAUUUGUUUUUAAAAGACAAUCUCCCCCACCUUUUGCCUAUGGACCACCCAAGUAUUUCACUCCACGGGAAAGAGAAAGCUUAGGCAUAAAAGAUACUACGAAAAUAAUGUGCCCUCUCCCCCUUGUUGGAGUCUAAAGCUGAUAUGGGAAAAAGAAACUGCAAGUUGUUUAAAAAGUUUAAAGAGUCACUCAUCCACAAAUGUUCAUUAUCACUGAAGGAAGCUUAUCAUCCAGUGAGUCUGUAAGGGAACUGCUCUUUAAAAUCAACCUUUUCUCUUAUCUCAUGACAAUAGCCUACCCACCACCAUGAUGUCCAAAUAGUAACUAUGAGACCAUCAUAUAGAGAUCCCAGCUUAAAAUAAGCAAGGGGGAGGGGGGCAGACUCUAGCCUGAGGCAAGUGAAGGUUGAAACUUCCCAAAUCUUUCUUUCUUUUUUUUUUUUUAACCUUGGUGUCCUGCAGAUGAUGUCCAUGUAAAUAUUUAGCCUCUUUUCAAAGGACUUAAUACUGAGUUUCCUUUUUUUUUUUUUUUAAGUCAUCUGAGUUAAAGAAAAUCAUCAAGUCUUUACUUCAUAUCUUCUGACUUCUUGUGAAAGCCAGUUUAUUACAGUUGGUGUGGUUCAAGUUUCCUGCUGGAUGUUUAGGAGAGAAUUAUUUUCUUACAUUUCUGUCUUGGGACACGACACCAUCAACACAUUAUCACAGACUAUGACAACUACAUAUUAAUGUUUGCAUCUUUUAAGUAGUCACCAAAUAAGUAUGGCUUGGGAAUGCAAGGUGGCGGGAGUCUUUCUGACUUUUUUAACGUGUCUAGAGCAGGUUUAAAUUAUAAAUUAUAAUUAUAAUAUUAAAAAUUAUGAUCAUGCUACAUAUUCACUAUAAAUAUUUUUAAUCGAUCAAAAAAUAAAUUGUCCCCAAAUCUCAUGAAUAAAAUAAUUAUUCCCCCUGCCACCUUAUUUUGAUUAAUUUUUCUCUUCAGAAAAGCCAUUAUGAUAGUUUAGCCUCAAACAUUUUAGAUAGCAUGGUAUAAAUAAAACUGCUUCUUACUGAAGGAUAACACAUGGACUCACUGUUUUUUGUAUUUUUCAGGCUGUACCGUUCCUUUACUUGAGCAGAGUAAACUGGAUCAGAUUACUUAAGGGAGAGGGGAAAGCAAUACAGAAUUAUAGUAACUUUUAAUGGCUGCUAAUAUAUUCUUCGUAAGUGAAUCACUCUAUUAUGCUUUUCUGUUGUACUGAAUGAAACAACAAAGGAAAUAGUAUUUCAAGGUAUUCCAUUUUUGUAUACUUGACUUUGUAACUACUUGAAUAGCAGCCAAGCUCUUGUGCUCUGAAGUGUUGGACAGAAGCACACGUUUAUCUUCUUGAACUUAAAGAAGUCCAGAUAUAGUUGCACUUAUCAACUCGGUUAAAAGGAUACCAUCUCUAGGCACUGCACAAAAGUUCAAAUGUGCAGCAAACUGUUCUUUUUCUCAUUCUCAAAAAAGAUUUUAUUGUUCAUAAAACUUCUGCCUGCAUUUUUUUUUCUUUUUAGGUUUUCCAAUUAAAGGUAAAUAAGGAAGUAUUUGUUUUCUUUAAAGAUAAUCUCUAAUGUAUACCUCUUGGAUAAUAAUGUAUUUUGUUUUUAAAGAAAUUCCAAUUUUUAGACUUUCAACUCUUUGGCUGUUUUUGUGUUUAAAAUGACAGUGAAGUUGUUAAAUAUCUCUGCAUAUGCAAAUUGACUAAGUAUGUUAAAAAUAGCAGAAUUCCUGACUCAGCAGGAUUGCAGUUUGCUUCUGUGUACUUAACACAAUUAAUUCAGAUUGUCAUUUUGGAUAUGAAGUGAACUUUCCUUUUCUGUGUUUAAGGUCCUACUCUGUAAUGAUAUUGUAUUAACAACAUCAAAAACACAUUCAGAGCACUAGUGUGGGAAAGAACAUUCUAGAUCAUGACUUUGAUUCAUGGUCUCACCCUGCUUGUUAAUCAAGGGGGAUAGAAGCUUAUGAACUCUUUGGUUUUCAUAUGGAUAUUAUAAAAAGAAAAGAAAAAUUUAAAUACAUUUCUGUUGCUUGGAGAGAUAUAUAUAUCCAAAAUCUGUUAGGUGGAUUGCCAGACACUUUAGGCUCAUUAAUAUUUUGAGAAUGGCUGCUGUUACCAUGUAGAUAACAAUAUAUUUUUUCAUGGGCAAGGCUAUGGCACUUACCUACUCUGAAAAACAUGUAUAAACAUAGACUUUAAUUUCACUAUUAAGAGAUGCAGAGGUCUUGUGAAAAGAAAAAAACAUAUGGUUUGAUUACUUUGAAUUCUGACUGCAUGAGGGCCAGUAACAACAGGAACUGGAUUUUAAAAGUUUAUGUUGUUAUUUUUUUUUCCUUAAAAUCAUGUGAAUUUUCUGUUUUUGACAAUUAUCCUUGUUAGCAACAUUUGGAUCAAAUGUAUGAGUGUACUUCUGAAUAAAGCCAAACGUCUAACUUCUUUUUAGUUCCAUAAUGUUUUAAUGUUUAAUUCUAUUGUGUGUUUCUCUCCUUUCCCUUUAUCCCCCUGUCCUUCCCCCCUAAAUCACCAAAUCUGGAAAACAGGCUGAUUGUAUCUGUCCCUGAGCAAAGGAAACCUGAAGGACCCAAGGGCCUGGCUGGACAGAGUUGUCAUGUGUCUGCCUGUCUACACUUGCUGUGCAGAACAUCCGCUCACCUGUACAGCAGGCACAGACAGGCAGUCACAUGACAACCCAGCCUGAAUGACCACCAGCCAUUGAAAGAAAGCUGCCCUCACAACAUAGCAUCUACACCAAGAGCUACAACCACAGUGAGGGGGUUGGGGGGCCUGGGGUUUGAAACUGUUGGCUUAUUAAAAGAAAAACUCGUAUGUAAUCCUUUGAUUUUUUUUGAUUCGCAUAUUAAAACCUACCCGAAGUAAAGUGAGUGGUGCCUAUGAAGCCUAAUAAAGCCCAUUUCUGAAAAUGCUCCUGUGUCUGCCAUGGUCCUACUGCCUCCACCACACUCUCGACAUUCACUGCACACACCUUUGCUGCCUCCUGACACUGACGUGAAAACCAAUUCGACAAAACCAUUUGGCUUCAGUUGGAUGUUUGUCGAAGAGGAAAUUAUUCUGCUGGGUCUUGUCUAUAAAUGAUUGUUUAUUUGUACUGUAACUUUUAAGUGGGGGGGGGGGGAGGGGAGAGAGGGGAAGUAUGGAGAGAAGAGACAGAAUAAACAAGUAACAAUAUAUUCUAAAGGAUCAAGUAUUUCAAGUUAACAAACUGCCAGUCUGGCCUGGGUAAAAGAUAUUUUAAAAUAUCCCUAGUAGAUUUUUCACUCAUAUUCAAAUAACAGUUUCUCUUCUUGGGAUAAACAAGAAUAUUGAACCGUCAAUAUUUCUGAGUGCUAUAGCACACACAGACUAGCUACCAUGUUGCUGUUUAGCUAAGAAAGCUUUUCUAGUGCAGUCACAGGGAUAAAAUAUAGAAAUCUGAUUUGCUUACUUGGGAUCUAUGUUUCCAGUCACGUAAGCUCUCAACCCAAGAUUUUUCAAACCCGUUGAUAAUUUCAAAAAAGCAAAGAUAGCCCUGCAUGACAUAUUUUGCCCUAAUUUCUGAGGAAAUAUCAAAGUUUCUGUUCUGACAUGAACUGGAGAAGUGGUCAGGGCUGGCUUUGUAUAUGAGCAUUUAAAAAAAAAAAACAACAAUAAGGAUAACAUGCAGAGACAGGUAAAUUUAGAAAAUUAUUCUAUUUUGACCUUGUUUAUUAACAUAUUUUACCUUUCAAUGUUUCACAUUUAACUUUUUCUUAUAUUCUAAUCAAGUUUUAAAAUUAUAAUCUGAGGCUACCCCAAACUAUUUUGUAAUGAUUGAAAUAACAAUCUCAAGCAAACUGCCUUGCCCACAGGCCUUUCAUUUUUAAAAUAUAAGAUUUAAUCUUAAGGCUAAGAGUUCACAGUUUCCAAAUUUUCUGAAUUCUAUGGUAUUUGUACUAGAUGUGACACUAUACUUUCUUUAAAAGAAAGAGUCAUAGGCAAAACUGUGUCAUGAAAAUAUGAAUAAAGUUAAAUGUCUUGCAUGUAAACAAUCUGGACUCACAGAAACUAUAUCCCAUGCAAAAAAUGAUCUGUUUUGCCUUUAUGAAACUCGUGAGGAAUUAACAGGGCUUUUUGCCUUAGAGGAAACUCCCAUGACCACCCAACAGAAUGCUGAAUGAUACAUCACAAAACGUGAAGUAUAAACAGGAAGUAUAAACUGUCCAUAAGGCUAUUUGCAUAGUCCUACCCAACUUUAAAUGCUUUACAGGAACUGCAGCAGACACUACCAGAGCGCUCAUGAUGAGUUAUUCUUCCAGGGCAGGAAUGUACCCCGUUCAGGGUGACACAGUGUCCCAGUCAGAACACGAAGGAACUGGGGGUUAACAGGGAUAUCCAGCAUAAUGUAUCAAAUAAUUUUUCCAUAAAUCAUAAAAAAUACCCUUAAAAACGUUUCUGACUCUGCUCUCAAAAGCCUUGACUGUCUUAUAUGCACCUUAAAUUCAUAAAAUAAGGCACACUUGAGAUUUUAUCCUUCUGGGAAAGGGGUAAUAUAAAGAAUGUGGACUUUGCAGCAUUAGAUUUGGAAACAACAAACAGUAGUAGUCGGUUUGUAGUUAAAGGAUACUUUGAGUAAUUUUGAAAUGGCACUGGCCAUUACCGUGUAUUAAAUAACACUUAUUUUAUUUCCUAAAUCAUAAAUCUUUGGAGAAUGCCAGGAUGUGGAAAUAAUCAACCUCAUAUUUAAAAGCACAAUGGAAGUUACUUUCUAUAGGAAUAAAAAUUACAAGUAUGAA
rnacentral:lncRNA from 1 species